CCACAAGAAAUUCAAAAAGUCUUAUUUCCCUGACCACAGGUUACAAGAAACCAAGUUCCAGAGGAGGCCAUGGCUGUGGAAUGAGUGAACCAAUAUCCAGGGGGCAAAGUAACCCCACUUGUCAGAUUCCAGAAUCUUCCUUUCUAAAGCGAAGCACUGAGCAGGGUCUGACACAGGCCCCCCUUCCUCACCACAUGACUUCAGCCCAGAGAUAUGUCCCAGCUUGCCCAGGAUUCAAGAGUUCCCUGAGACGGAGAAACCUCUUCCAAGGCUCUUACAGGGUGACCACAGUCCGAAAAUAUUAUCAACAAACCCUGAAGACUAGGGCCACAGACAGGGUGAGGCUCAGAGGCCUCGCGACUGCUCCUGUCCUAUCACAUCCUCCUCCCCUCUGUGCAUCUGUCCAAUUUGUUUUUAGCAAAAAUGCUUGAGAAGCAAACCUGUAAAGUACCCCUCAAUCCAAAGGAGGCUCCUGCCAGACGAGGUGUGCUGAGUAAGAACGAUGAUGUGUGACCACGGUCCCUUCCCUGGCUCCUCAUAAAUGAUGGAAGACACCAUUGAGGAACAGAGGACCUCAGAGGGGAAGAGAGGUCCAGAAGCAGCCCCCUGAAGUCACUACCAAGACAGCAACCAAGGAAAGACGGUGCUCAUGAUAUUUUGUACAUCUCCAAUCAUCGUUAAUCGGGAUCUGCACUUUUAAUUUCCCGAUCAUCCUGUGCUUACUGGAAAACUCGUAGGGCUCCCUCUCUGGCAUUUCCAUGAGGUGCUAAAGGAUGGGUUCACGUGUGAUGUGGCACAAGUGAGAAGUGGUUGGAGAUUUGGCUGCCUGGCCUGAGCUCCUCCUGGCUCUGUCCUCCUGGCCGUUCUAGAUGCAGGCCAGCUUUCUCUGGGCUCCUGGCCUUUCCCAAAGUUUUUUGGCCAAACUCCUUCUGCAGGCCGGCUGCCCUCCCACCCUUCAAAAUCCAUGCCCCCACCCCGCACCGCAUAGCUACUGCUUUUUCUUACUGGCCUCAAAAGGAGAGAUGGAAAAGUUGUGGAUGGGAACAGGACCCUUGUGGCUGAAAAAGCAGGGGAACUCAGAAAUCCCCACCUGUUCCUUGAGAGGUUGCAUGAAGGCUCACUGGUGAUAGAAACAUAUUUUCCAAUAAAUGUAGUUUUUACGGGAA